GACACACUUUGCAAGAUGGGUGCAGCCACUAUUGUAGGUGAGAAAUUUGGAAGGUAGGAUAUAGAGGGGAAAUUAAUUUAUAUUUUAAGCAACGAUAAACCAUUGUUUCUAAAAACGAUUCUGAGCGGAAUUCAGUUGAUAAUGAUUCUUUAUCAAAGAACGUCAUAUUAUGGUAAUUAAAUAUGCAUUAUAUAUUUUUUUUAAUAACAUUAUUUUAAUAUUAUUCCAAUUUCCCGUUUUUUCUACGUUUUUCUAUUUUUUCCCCCGGUUUAUCAUAU